GAUGAACGCUGGCGGCGUGCCUAAUACAUGCAAGUCGAGCGAAGCGGGGACGGGUGAGUAACACGUGGCUAACCUCCUAUAAGACUGGGAUCACUUCGGGGAACCUGAUCUCAAUCCGUUACUUAUUCAUGUAUCCUCGCUGCAUUAGCUAGUUGGUAAGGUAACGGCUUACCAAGGCAACGAUGCAUAGCCGACCUGAGAGGGUGAUCGGCCACACUGGAACUGAGACACGGUCCAGACUCCUACGGGAGGCAGCAGUAGGGAAUCUUCCGCAAUGGGCGAAAGCCUGACGGAGCAACGCCGCGUGAGUGAUGAAGGUCUUCGGAUCGUAAAACUCUGUUAGUAGGGAAGCGGUACCUAAUCAGAAAGCCACGGCUAACUACGUGCCAGCAGCCGCGGUAAUAC
rnacentral:rRNA from 1 species